UACGUAGGGAGCAAGCGUUGUUCGGAUUUACUGGGCGUAAAGGGCGCGUAGGCGGCGCGGUAAGUUGGGCGUGAAAGGCCCGGGCUCAACCCGGGGACUGCGCUUGAUACUGUCGCGCUGUGAGUCCGGGAGAGGAUGGCGGAAUUCCCAGUGUAGAGGUGAAAUUCGUAGAUAUUGGGAAGAACACCGGUGGCGAAGGCGGCCAUCUGGACCGGCACUGACGCUGAGGCGCGAAAGCGUGGGGAGCAAACAGG
rnacentral:rRNA from 1 species